rnacentral:rRNA from 1 species
UACGGAGGGGGCAAGCGUUAUCCGGAUUCACUGGGCUUAAAGGGUGCGUAGGCGGGCAGGUAAGUCCGUGGUGAAAUCUCUGAGCUUAACUCAGAAACUGCCAUGGAUACUAUUUGUCUUGAAUAUUGUGGAGGUAAGCGGAAUAUGUCAUGUAGCGGUGAAAUGCUUAGAUAUGACAUAGAACACCAAUUGCGAAGGCAGCUUACUACACAGUUAUUGACGCUGAGGCACGAAAGCGUGGGGAUCAAACAGG